CCUACGGGAUGCACCAGUGGGGAAUAUUGCACAAUGGGCGCAAGCCUGAUGCAGCGACGCCGCGUGAGGGAUGACGGCCUUCGGGUUGUAAACCUCUUUCGCCAGGGACGAAGCGCAAGUGACGGUACCUGGGUAAGAAGCAACGGCUAACUACGUGCCAGCAGCCGCGGUAAUACGUAGGGUGCGAGCGUUGUCCGGAUUUAUUGGGCGUAAAGAGCUCGUAGGCGGUUUGUCGCGUCGGCCGUGGAAUCUCCACGCUUAACGUGGAGCGUGCGGUCGAUACGGGCAGACUUGAGUUCGGUAGGGGAGACUGGAAUUCCUGGUGUAGCGGUGAAAUGCGCAGAUAUCAGGAGGAUCACCGGUGGCGAAGGCGGGUCUCUGGGCCGAUACUGACGCUGAGGAGCGAAAGCGUGAGGAGCGAACAGGAUUAGAUACCCUCGUAGUC
rnacentral:rRNA from 1 species